rnacentral:rRNA from 1 species
CAGCAGCCGCGGUAAUACGGAGGGGGCUAACGUUGUUCGGAAUUACUGGGCGUAAAGCGCACGUAGGCGGCUUGGUAAGUUAGAGGUGAAAGCCUGGAGCUCAACUCCAGAAUUGCCUUUAAGACUGCCGAGCUAGCAGGUGAGAGAGGUAAGUGGAAUUCCGAGUGUAGAGGUGAAAUUCGUAGAUAUUCGGAAGAACACCAGUGGCGAAGGCGGCUUACUGGCUCAUACUGGACGCUGAGGUGCGAAAGCGUGGGGAGCAAACAGGAUUAGAUACCCCGGUAGUCCCUGUCUCUUAUAC